AGAUUUCCGCCAAAAACUUGAAAAUGACAACAAAGCUGAACUUAGUUGUAGCUGCUUGCAAUGACUGGGGGAUCGGGAAAGAUGGACAGCUACCUUGGAGAUUGAAAAAAGACAUGGAAUUUUUCAAGAAAAUGACAACACAGACAGACAAUCCAGACAAAAAGAAUGUAGUCAUAAUGGGUCGAAAAACAUGGAAUUCGAUUCCGGAGAAAUUCCGUCCCCUCCCAAAGAGAAUCAACAUCAUUCUUAGCAAAACCAUGAGGUAAGUCUUAAGAAAACCCAAGCACAAGCCUCAGAACUACAUAUCAGCUGAGGUGAUUUUAGGCUGCAAAUAUUUGAAAAAAAAAUAGAACCAAAAAGCAACAUGAUAAACUGAUUUAAAGAUACUCUUAGACAGCUGAUAGGGUAUUGAUUUGUCAGUUGAUGAGGAGAGGGAAAACCAUAAUUUUUUUUUCUCCAAAAUGGUGGCUCUGUGAGUGAUAUAGGUAGACACCCACAUAAUAACGUCCACACCUAGUUUGGAAAACUUAGAUGAAAUAGAUAUACAAUUGAUUGCUAAAAAUUAUUAAUGCAUAUUUUUUAUAUAUCUUCUGUCAUUAUUUUAUGUGUAAAUCAUGUGUCCAACAGCCAUGCACCUACUGGGGCCUACCUGGCCGGGAGUUUGGAGGAGGCCAUUUCCAUGGUAACCGACAAAGGUGACCUAGCAGACAAGGUGGAGGGGGUCCACAUCAUUGGAGGGAGCUCUGUCUAUAAGCUGUAAAGAAGUGCCAAAAGGAACAGUGACGGAAAAUGACAUAGACUUUGUGUUUGAAGUGUAUGACAAGAUACCUGGACAUAAUACCAUAGAAGAGCCCAACGCUGCCUAGAAACUGUAACAUAAUGCGAGCAUCCGUUGUACAUACGCGAAAAUAUCACGCACGCGAAUUAAAACUGAAAAACAGUCCAACGCCUCAGGCUAUACGCGAAAUUUUCGCUUGUGCGAAAUUGCAGUUGGUUAAUACAUUUAAUAACAGUAUUAUUUUUUUUCUCUCUAUUUAUGCCACUGCCAUUGCCUGCGUUUUGUGAAAUGCGUCUCUGUUACAAAUAUUAUAAAUUUGAUGCACGGAACCGUUUCAUUGGCUCACUCUUUACAGAUUUUCAAUAUGAAUGUUUUUUCGCUGCUAUUAAAGGGAGAGUUACAAUCGCAACUUCUCUGACUUUUUCGACAAACGGAAAAAUGUUCCGAAUUUCGUCGGAAACUUCUUUCCGUCAACGAGCGAAAUUUUCGAGUUCUGCCUAAAAGUCGCGAGAAGUUUUGAUUGGAGAAGUUUUCUCCUCUGAAUAGUGUCAUUGGAAAUCGGUAGUUUUUUUUGCGUACAGGUAAUUGAUUAUGCCAAUUUAAAGCAUUUACAGACCCUUUGUCGAUUAAAGACAAAACUUGCACGGGAACUUAUGCAUAGUCUACUCUUGUGUAUUCUGUGUUGAAAAACCGACCUGUGGUGAUAUGUUGUAUAUUUAUUUUAUGUACAUGAAUGUAUUGUAUUAUUAUGAAUUAAAUAAUUCUAUU
rnacentral:misc_RNA from 1 species